ensembl:lncRNA
GUCGAAGAGAAAACGCGUGAUUUUUGCUUAAAUGGGGAAUUUCCGAAGAGAAAACGCGUGAUUUUUGGAUAAAUCGGGGAUUUGCGAAGAGAAAACGCGUGAUUUUCGUGUUAAAUCGGGGAUUCUCGAAGAGAAAACGCGUGAUUUUCGGGUUAAAUGGGAAAUUCUCGAAGAGAAAACGCGUGAUUUUCGGCUUAAAUGGGGGAUUCCCGAAGAGAAAACACGUGAUUUUUGGUUUAAAUGGGGGAUUCCGGAAGAGAAAACGCGUGAUUCUCGCUUAAAUGGGGGAUCUCAAAAAGAAAACGUGUGAUUUUCGGGUUAAAUGGGGGAUUCUCGAAGAGGAAAUGUGUGAUUUUCGCUUAAAUGGUGGAUUGUCGAAGAGAAAACGCGUGAUUUUCAAGUUAAGUGGGGGAUUCUCAAAGAAAAAACGCGUGAUUUUCGCUUAAAUGGGUGAUUCUUGAAGAGAAAACGCGUGAUUUUUGCUUAAGUGGGGGAUUCUCGAAGAAAAAAACGCGUGAUUUUCAGUUAAAUCGCG